GAUGAAGAACGUAGCGAAAUGCGAUAAGUAAUGUGAAUUGCAGAAUUCAGUGAAUCAUCGAAUCUUUGAACGCACCUUGCGCUCCUUGGUAUUCCGAGGAGCAUGCCUGUUUGAGUGUCAUGAAAUUCUCAAACCCAUAAGUCUUUGCGGGCUUACGGGCUUUGGAUUGGAGGCUUGUCGGCGACCGUAAAGUCACAUCGACUCCUCUCAAAUGCAUUAGCUUGAUUCCUUGCGGAUCGGCUCUCGGUGUGAUAAUUGUCUACGCCGUGACCGUGAAGCGUUUUGGCAAGCUUCUAACCGUCUCUAACGAGACAGCUUACUUUGACCUCUGACCUCAAAUCAGGUAGGACUACCCGCUGAACUUAAGCAUAUCAAUAAGCGGAGGA
rnacentral:misc_RNA from 1 species